rnacentral:rRNA from 1 species
UAGGGAAUCUUCGGCAAUGGGGGGAACCCUGACCGAGCAACGCCGCGUGAGUGAAGAAGGUUUUCGGAUCGUAAAGCUCUGUUGUUAAGGAAGAACGAGUGUGAGAAUGGAAAGUUCAUGCAGUGACGGUACUUAACCAGAAAGGGACGGCUAACUACGUGCCAGCAGCCGCGGUAAUACGUAGGUCCCGAGCGUUGUCCGGAUUCAUUGGGCGUAAAGCGAGCGCAGGCGGUUAGAUAAGUCUGAAGUUAAAGGCAGUGGCUCAACCAUUGUAGGCUUUGGAAACUGUUUAAAUUGAGUGCAGAAGGGGGGAGUGGAAUUCCAUGUGUAGCGGUGAAAUGCGUAGAUAUAUGGAGGAACACCGGUGGCGAAAGCGGCUCUCUGGUCUGUAACUGACGCUGAAGCUCGAAAGCGUGGGGAGCGAACAGG